UCCCCCAGUAACGGCGAGUGAAGAGGGAACAGCCCAAAUUUGUAAUCUGGCCCCUUUGGGGUCCGAGUUGUAAUCUCGAGAACUGUUUUCCGCGCCGGACCAUGUACAAGUCUGUUGGAAUAUAGCUUCAUAGAGGGUGAGAAUCCCGUACAUGACAUGGACUACCGGUGCUUUGCGAUACAGUCUCUAAGAGUCGAGUUGUUUGGGAAUGCAGCUCAAAUUGGGUGGUAAAUUCCAUCUAAGGCUAAAUAUUGGCGAGAGACCGAUAGCGAACAAGUACCGUGAGGGAAAGAUGAAAAGCACUUUGGAAAGAGAGUUAACAGUACGUGAAAUUGUUGAAAGGGAAACGCUUGAAGUCAGCCUUGUUCUUGGUUGUUCAGCCCUCCGUGGCGUAUUCAACUUUGAGCAGGCCAGCAUCAGUUUUGGGUGCUGGAUAAGGGCUUAGGAAAUGUGGCAGCCUUGGCUGUGUUAUAGUCCUUUGCUUGAUACAGCGCUCCGGGACUGAGGAAUGCAGCGAGCCUUUUGGCGGGUCCAUUUAUGGACCUUCUCGCUUUGGAUGCUGGCGUAAUGGCUUUAAACGACCCGUCUUGAAACACGGACCAAGGAGUGUAACAUGCUUGCGAGUAUUUGGGUGGCAAACCCGGAUGCGUAAUGAAAGUGAAUGAAGGUGGGAACCGCAAGGUGCACCAUCGACCGGUCCGGAUUUUUAAUGAUGGAUCCGAGUAAGAGCAAGCACGUUGGGACCCGAAAGAUGGUGAACUAUGCCUGAAUAGGGUGAAGCCAGAGGAAACUCUGGUGGAGGCUCGUAGCGGUUCUGACGUGCAAAUCGAUCGUCGA
rnacentral:rRNA from 1 species